rnacentral:antisense_RNA from 1 species
CCUUUCAGAUCACUCCCUUCUGAUGCUUCACAACCAGUCAUCAAGGCUCAAAGUACAUCUAACUUCUCUCCUUCCCUCGUAGUCUUGUAAGACUGGAUUGAUAAAGGUCUUGACAAGACAGCUUCUGGACAUCUCUAUGCAAAACCACCCACCAAAAAGACUCAGGAAUUGGGAAAAACAGAUGAGAAUAAUGUCCCCUCACUAAUGUAUGCUUUACUUCUGAAUUCCAUUCUUCACAUGCAAUUCUUAACAAGGAACUGACAGAAAAAUGGAAAGACAGAUUUUUCAAAAGCAAAUUAGAGAAUGUGAAGCUGGAACCCAGAUCUCCCUGACAGAUCCUAGUGAACUGGGGAUGGUUGACACAAGGAUGCCAACUCACAGAUUCAGAACAAUGGGUUGACAACCAGCCCUCCACAUCCUUCAUCUCCCAACAUAUGCUGAGAAUAAAUGGCAUGCCCUGAUAAGGGAUAAAGUACUGGCGUACAUCAAGAAAAGUUGCUUUAGCUGCAAUACAGAGAACAGAAUGGAGGUAGGAAGCAUAGGAGUGGGACGAUCCAUCAAAGGCCAUUACAACCAUGCAGGCCAGAACUGGAGACUUCCAGAAGAGAAAGGAUUCAUGCUGGAUAUAGGUGCCUGGAGUUCAGAGGUGAGAUCUGGGGUGAGUCAUCCAUGAACAGAUAUUAUUUGAAGCCACCAGAAUGGAUU